rnacentral:rRNA from 1 species
AAAAAAUAUUGACUGACCUUGGAUUUUUCUUUGGAAUAUGUAUUUGGAUGGCCCUCCUUUUUGGGUAAUCUUUUGAGCACAUGUAUGAUUGUUGUUUUUUUUUAUUUUUUGUUGUAAUGUUUUACUUUUUUUGUUAUAAAACAGAUAGAUAUUUGGUUUAUAGAUUUAUUUUUUAUGUGUUACUAUUAUUAAUUUUUUUUGGAUGCUUUUUGAUUUAGGUUAGGUUGAAAUUGGAAAAGAAAGUAAUUUAAUUUUUAAGGUUUUUGUGAAUUUAAUAA